CUUUUCAGACUAUUUCAUACAAUUCUCUGAUAUGACAACCAUGUGCAUCUGUGCUUGGGCGUGUGGGUGUGGGUGUGAUGAUAGGAAUCAAGUAGAGGCCUUCAUGUACAUUCGAGUCUUUACUAACUAAAGAGAAUGUGGUAGAUACGGUGGGUGAGUAACCAGAAGAAGCACAGUAAACUAUAGGAAGUGCCACAGAUGUAACUAUGAAAACAGUGAGUAACUGUGUGAAUAACGAGGGUUUUCCUU
rnacentral:lncRNA from 1 species